rnacentral:rRNA from 1 species
UACGUAGGGUGCAAGCGUUACUCGGAAUUACUGGGCGUAAAGCGUGCGCAGGCGGUUGUGUAAGACAGAUGGGAAAUCCCCGGGCUCAACCUGGGAACUGCAUUUGUGACUGCACGGCUGGAGUGCGGCAGAGGGGGAUGGAAUUCCGCGUGUAGCAGUGAAAUGCGUAGAUAUGCGGAGGAACACCGAUGGCGAAGGCAAUCCCCUGGGCCUGCACUGACGCUCAUGCACGAAAGCGUGGGGAGCAAACAGG